ACAUAAUAAAUACGAACAUUAAAGUGCCAACCUGAAAAGUUACAGAAUGAGUGUGAGCAACUUGAAAGAAACUUCUAGAGACAACAGCGAAAAAAUCUGUUAGUUGUGGGUGUGGUGAGGUGGAUGGUGAAUCAGACCUGUUCAGCAGCAUUCCUAAGGCAGGAAUGAAAAGUAAGUUCACUCUAGGUCAUUGUAAAGCCAGCAUAGCAACAAUGCCUGUUACUUCUUCUCCUUCUUUUUUUUUAAUUUUAUUUAUUUUGUUGUUGUUGAGAAUAUGCACAGCAAAACAUACACCAAUUCAAAAGUUUCUACAUGUACAUAAAAUUCAGUGGCAUUGGUUGCAUUCUUUGAGUUGUGCAACCAUUCUCACCCUUCUUUGAGUUGUUCCUCCUCCAUCAACAUAAACUUACUGCCCCCUAAGGUUCCUCUCUGUUGUCAAUUUGAUCUUAUAUAUACAGUUCUUAAAAGAGGAUAAUGUUCAAGGCAGACAUUCUUUACCAAUUAAACUAAACUACCGUUUAAUUUUAGAAAGUCGUCAGGGAAUAUUUUUGGUUUAGGGUUUAAGAUUAUCUCCAGGCAAUAGUUUCGGGGUAUCUGUUACUUCUUUAACAGUUUCUUUGAAGAAAUGUUGCAUUACGAAUGCUUUUCAUAGCAAAGAAGAUGAUACAGGAGUGAGAAAACUUGGACAUUGAUAAAUACAAGACAAAAAGUAAUUCAGUAAAGUCAGGCUCUGAAUGUGAAAAAGUUUUAGGAAUACGUUAAUCAAUUUAUUUCACUUGUAUUUUCCUCUUUAUGUACAUGUAAGAAUGAUAUAUGAUUUAAAAAUCUAUUUCUAAUUAAGUCUAAAAGACAUUGUGUGGUGAUUUGGGCGUGUUUUUCCUUCUUUAGUGUAUCCUACGGAUCAAUGGCAUUUUAGAUUCGGUGGAUCAAUGGCAUUUUAGAUUCAGUGAAUUAUAGUCGUAAUGUUACCAAUUGCCAACCUGACACAAAGGGUUCUUGUCUUUUCCCGAGUAAGAAUAUACACGAAAGACAAACUUUAUCUUCAGCAAGCUUUAUUUUGCUUGAGUCAAGCAAAAGGAGUUGGCGGGGAUCUAAGCCUCUUCAAACGACUGACUCAAAAAGGGAAGCAAGGCUAGGGCUUGUAUGGGUUUGGUAGAGACAAUAAAGUAAUGAAUAUUUAGUGGGCUCCUUACAAGGGGCGGGUACUUCUCAGAAUGGCAGUGUACGUUUAUUAGGUUGUACGUGCAUCUGGAAUCUAACAUGGAACCCGCUAUACUCAGGAUGGAGUCCUCUCGGCAGCCCUUGGCAUCACUUAUUACGGGAUACAGCGCAAGCGCACUUCAUCUUCGGCACUACAUCGUCAUCUUUGGAGGGCUAAAGAAGGUCAAACAGUAGUCACACUCUGCUCCUCUGGGCAUAUGGAGCCUGCAAAGGAGGAGAAGACUAGCAAGACACUAAGAAGGAGAUAGUAAUUCACCAGCUGCCCCAAUCCUAUCUCAUGUUGACAGGCAAUUCUGUAAGGCAGAUGCUAUGCUGUUCUGUUUUACAGAUGAAGAAACAGAAGUUUCUGGCCUGUAUAAUCUUUGGCUAGUCCAGCGGGACUAUAAGAAGAAAAAUGGGGCAACAGGAUUGGAGGAAGACUAACAACCUGCAUUAUGCAGAUAACACAACUUUGCUCACUGUAAAUGAAGAUCCAAGAUCACAGCGUUCAGCAUGGAUUACACCUCAACAUAAAGAAAACAAAAAUCCUCACAACUAGACCAACAAGCAACAUGAUAAAUGGAGAAAAGAUUGAGGUUGUUGAGGAUUUCAUUUUUACUUCGAUCCACAAUCAACACCCAUGGAAGCAGCAGUCAAGAAAUCAAAAGACACAUUGCAUUGGGCAAAUUGGCUGCAAAAGACCUCUUUAAACUGUUGAAAAGCAAAGAUGUCACCUUGAGGACUAAGGUACACCUGACCCAAGCCAUGGUGUUUUCAAUCACCUCAUAUGCAUGCAAAAGCUGGACAAUGUACAAGAAAGACAGAAGAACUGACACCUUUGAAUUGUGGUGUCGAUGAAGAAUAUUGAAUACACCACGGACUGCCACAAGAAUGAACAAAUUUGUCCUGGAAGAAGUACAAGAAGAAUGCUCCUUAGAAGCAAAGUAGCCAAGUGUUAACUUUGGACAUGUUAUGAGGAGGGAUCAGUCACUGGAGAAGGACAUCAUGCUUGGUAAACUAGAGAGUCAUUGCAAAAGAGGAAGACCCUCAAUGAGAUGGAUUGACACAGUGGCUGCAACAAUGGGUUCAAGGACAGCAACGAUUGUGAGGAGGGUGCAGGUCCCAGCAGUGUUUCGUUCUGUUGUGCACAGGGUCUCUGUGAGUUGGAACUGACUCAGUGGCACCUAACAACAGCAGUCUUUGGCUGAAAGACGGACUUCAGGAGUAGCUUGAGUUUUGAGUUAGCAAGGUGUCUGGGGGCCAUAGUCUCAGGGGUUCCUCCAGUCUCUGUCAGACCAGUAAGUCUGGUCUUUUUUUCUGAAUUUGAAUUUUGUUUUAAGUUUUUCUCCUGCUCUGUCUGGGACCCUAUACCGUAACCCCUGUCAGAGUGGUCGGUGGUGUUAGCCAGGCACCAUCUUGUUCUUCUGGGCUCAGGCUGGUGGAGGCUGUGGUUCAUGUGGCCCAUUAGUCCUUUGGUCUAAUGCUUGCCUUGUGUCUGGUUUUUGUUUUUUUUUUCAUUCUCCAGAGGGGAUGGGACCAACAGAUGUAUUUUAGAUGGCCACUCACAAGCUUUUAAGACCCCAGACACUACUCACCAAAGUAGGAUGUAGAACAUUUUCUUUAGAAACUAUGUCAUGCCUAUUGACCUAGAUGUCACCAGAGACUAUGGUCCCCAGCCCUCAGCCCCAGGAACUCAGUCCCUCAAGGUGUUUGGAUAUAUCUAUGCAGCUUCUAUGACUUCGUCUUGGUCAAAUUGUCCUGACUUCCCCUAUAUUGCGUGUUGUCUUUCCUUUCACCAGAGUUAACAUUUGUCUACUUUCUAGUUAGCGAUUUCCCCUUCCCACCCAUCCCCUCCCUCAUAAACGUCAAAGAUUGUUUUUUUCUGUGUGUAAACCUUUUCUUGAGUUUUUAUAAUAGAGGCCUCAUACAAUAUUUGUAGUUUUGUAAUUGACUCAUUUCACUCAGCAUAAUGCCCCUCAGAUUGAUCCAUGUUGUGAGAUGUUUCAUGGAUUCAUCAUUGUUCUUCAUUGUUGCAUAGUAUUCCAUUGCGUAUAUGUACUGCAAUUUCUUUAACCAUUCAUCAGUUAAUGGGCACCAAGCUUGCUUCCAUCUUUUUGCUCUUGUGAAUAAUGCUACAACGAACAUGGGUGUACGUAUGUCUAUUCAUGUGACAGUUCUUAUUUCGAAAGAGUGGGAUUGCUGAAUCACAUGGUAUUUUUAUUUCUAGCUUUUUAAAGAGGUGCCAUAUUGUUUUCCAAAGUGGUUGUAUCAUUUUACAUUCCCAUCAGCUAUGCAAAAGAGUUCCAGUCUCCAUACAACCUUGACAACAUUUCCUAUUUUCUGUUUUAUUGAUUAGUGCCAGUAAUGUCGGGUGAGAUGGUAUCUCAUUGUAGUUUUGAUGUACAUUUCCCUAUUGUCUAAUGAUCUAGAGCAUUUUCUCAUGUGUCGCUUACCUGCCUGAAUGUCUUCUUUGGUGAAGUGUCUGUUCAUAUCCUUUGCCCAGUUUUUAAUUGAUUAUUUGUCUUUUUGUUGUUGAGGUGUUGAAGUAUUUUAUAGAUUAGACCCUUGUUGGAUACGUCGUUUGCCAAAAAUUUUUUUCUGAGUCUGUAUGUUCACUUUCUACUCUUUUGGUGAAGUCUUUUGAUGAGCAUAAGUAUUUAACUUUUAGGAACUCUCGGUCAUCUAGUUUUUCUUCUGGUGUUUCUGCAUUGUUAGUUAUGAUUUGUACUUUAUUUGUGCAAAGUACUAGAUCCCCUAGUGUUUUCUUUAUUUUUCUUCUAUGAUCUUUAUUGUUUUAGGUUUUAUAUUUAGGUCUUUGACCCAUUAUUUGUUAGUUUUUGUGUAUGGUGUGAGGUAUAAGUCCUGUUUCAUUUUUCUGUAGUUGGACAUCCAGCUUUGCCAGGACCAUUUGUUAAAAAGGCUGUCUUUUCCCCUAUUUAAUAGGCUUCAAUCCUUUGUCAGCUGACCAUAGGUGGAUGAAUUUAUGUCUGGCUUCUUGAUUCUGUUCCAUUGGUCAAUGCAUCUGUCCUUGUACCAGUACCAGUCUGAUUUGAAUAUUGUGGCUGUGCAGUAGGUUCUGGGACAUGGUAGUGUGAGGCCUCCUACUUUGUUCAUUUCCUUCAACAAUGCUUUGCUUAUCUGGAGCCUCUUUCCUUUCUAUACAAAGUUGAUUAGUUUUUUCAUCUCAUUAAAGAAGGCUGUUGGUAUUUGGAUUGGGAUUCCAUUAUAUCUGUAGAUCGAUUUGGGUAGAAUUGACAUUUUCACAAUGUUGAGUCUUCCUAUCCAUGGGCAAAGUAUGUUUUCCCAUUUAUGUAGGUUUCUUUUGGUUUCUUGCAGUAGUGUUUUGUAGUUUUUUUUGUAUAGGUCUUGGUUAGAUUUAUUCCUGGUUAGAUUUACUCCUAAAUAUUUUACCUUUUUAGGGGCUGUUAUAAAUGAUACUUUUUCCUGAUUUCCUUUUCAAAGUUCUCUUUAUUAGUGUAUAGGAAUCCAACUGAUUUUUGUAUGUUUAUCUUGUAUCCUGCCACUUUACUAAACCUUUCUGUAAGUUCCAGUAGUUUCCUUGUAGAAUCUUUGGGGUUCUCUACAUAUAGUAUCAUAUCAUCUGUGACUAGGGAUAGUUUUUCUUCCUCCUUACCAGUUUGGAUGCCCUUUAUUUCUUUUUCUUGUCUUAUUGCUGUGGCUAGGACUUCCAGCACAAUGUUAAAUACAAGUGGUGAUAAAGGGCAUCCUUGUCUUGUUCCCAUUCUUAGGGGGAAUUCUUUCAGCCUUUCUCCGUUGAGAAUGAUGUUGGCUGUUGGUUUAGUACAACCAAAAAAGAAAGCCAAACCAGUUGCCGUCAAGUCAAUUCCAACUCAUAGUGAACCUAUAGGACAGAAUAGAACUGCCCCAUAGGGUUUUCAAGGAGUGGCUGGUGGAUUCGAACUGUUGACCUUUUGGUUAGCAGCCUGAGAUCUUAAUUAGUGCACCACCAGGACCUCAAUUGGUUUUGUAUAGAUGCCCUUUAUUAUGUUGAGGAAUUCCUCUUCUAUUCCUAUUUUAUUGAGGGUUUUUAUCAAGAAUGGGUGUUGGACUUUAUCAAAUGCCUUUUCUGUGUCAAUUGAGAUGAUCAUGUGAUUCUUUUCUUCUACUUUACAUGGUGGAUUACAUUCAUUAGUUUUCAAUGUAGAAUCAUCCUUGCAUACCUGGUUUGAAUCCCACCUGGUCAUGGUGUAUUAUUUUUUUUGAUAUGAUGCUAAAUUCUACUGGCUAAAAUUUUGUUGAGAAUUUUUGCAUCUGUAUUCAUGAGGGAUAUGGGUCUAUAAUCUUUUUUUGUGGCACCUUUGCCUGCUAACCAAAAGUUUGGCAGUUUGAAUCCACCAGCUACUUCUUAAACACCAUAAGGGUAUACUCUACUCUGUCCUAUAGGGUUGCUAUCAGUCUGAAUUGACUCAACAGCAACAGGUGCCUGGCUUUGGUAUCAGCGUAAUGCUGGCUUCAUAGAACAAAUUUGGGAGUAUUCCUUUUGUUUCUAUGCUCUGAAAUAGUUUGAGUAGUACUGGUGUGAGUUUUUCUCUGAAUGUUUGUCUUAUUGCUGUAGCUAGGACUUCCAGCACAACGUUAAAUAGGAGUGGUGAUAAAGGGCAUCCUUGUCUUGUUCCUGUUCUCAAGGGGAAUGUUUUUAGCCUCUCUCCAUUAAGAAUGAUGUUGCCUGUUGGUUUUGUAUAGAUGCCUUUUAUUAUGUUGAGAAAUUUCCCUUCUGUACCUAUUUUUACAUUGAUUGAUUUUCUAAUGUUGAACCAUCCUUGCAUACCUGGUUUGAAUUCCACUUGGUCAUGGUGUAUUAUUUUUUUGAUAUGAUGUUGAAUGCUAUUGGCUAGAAUUUUGUUGAGAAUUUUUGCAUCUAUAUUCAUGAAAGAUGUUGGUCUGUAAUUUUCUGUCUUUCUUUCUUCUCUCUCUCUUUCUUUCUUUCUGGUGUUUUGCUCUCAGGUUUAUGCUGGCUUCAUGAAAUGAAUUCAGAAGUAUCCCUUCCUUUUCUAUGUUCUGAAAUAGUUUGAGCAGUACUGGUGUAAGCUUUUCUCUGAAUGUUUGGUAGAAUUCUCAAGUGAAGCCAUGUGGGUCAGGGCUUUUUUGUUGUGUUGAGUGUUUUUUUUUUACCUUUUCAAUCUCUUGUUAGGGGUCUGUUCAUUUUUUACAUCAUUUUGUGUUAGUUUGGGUACGUAGUGUGUCUCUAGAAAUUUGCCCAUUUCCUCUAGAUUUUCAAAUUUGUUGGAGUAUAGUUUUUCCUAAUACUCUGUUAUGAUCCUUUUUAUUUCACUUGGGUCUGUUGUAAUGUCCCCCAUUUCACUACCUACUUGAGUUAUUUGUGUCCUCUCCUGUUUUUCUUUUGUCUGUUUGGCCAGUGGUUUGUCAAUUUUGUUGAUCCUUUCAAAGAACCAACUUUUGGCUUUAUUGAUUCUUUCUAUUGUUGUUCUGUUUCAUUUAUUCCUGCUCUGAUCUUUAUUAUUUCCUUCAUUCUGGUGGCUGUGCGCUUCUUUUGCUGUUCUCUGUUUGUUCAAGUUGUGCAGCUAAUGUUUUGAAUUUGUCCUUUUCUUCUUUUUUGAUGUGUGCAUCUAUGGGCAUAAAUUGACCUCUGAGCACUGCUUUUGCUGUGCCCCAAAGGUUUGGGUAUGAUGUGCUUUCAUUCUUGUUUGAUUCUAGGAAUUUUUUUUUAUUUCAUUUCUGAUUUCUUCUAUUACGCAGUGGGAGUUUUUUUGUGUGUGUGUGUGUGUACUUUAAAUAAAAGUUUACAAUUCAAGUCAGUUUCUCAUACAAAAACUUAUAGACACAUUGUUAUGUGACCCUAGUUGCUGUCCCUAUAAUGUGACAGCACACUCCUCCUACCUGUAUUUCCUUUGUCCAUUCAAACAGCUCCUAUCCCCCUCUGCCUUCUCAUCUCACCUCUGAACAGGAGCUGCCCACUUAGUCUCGUGUGUCUACUUGAGCUAAGAAGCAGACUCCUCACCAGUAUCAUUUUAUGUCUUAUAGUCCAGUCUAAUCCUUGUCUGAAGAGUUGGCUUUGGGAAUGGUUUUAGUUUGGGGCUAACAGAGAGUCUGGGGGCCAUGUCUUCUGGGGUCCCUCCUGUCUGAGUCAGAGUAUUAAUUCUGGUCUUUUUACUAGAAUUUGAAUUCUACACCCCACUUUUUUCCUGCUUUGUCAGGGACUCUCUGCUGUGUUUAUUGAGACUUUGUUUUCCUUCUUUAUUUUAAUGAGUCAUUGGUGGUGGCCGGGCACCAUCCAGUUCUUCUGGUGUCAGGCUGAUGGAGUCUCUGGUUUAUGUGGCCCUUUCUGUCUCUUGGGCUCAUAUUGGCCUUGUGUCUUUGGUGUUCUUCAUUCUUCUUUGCUCCAGGUGGAUUGGGACCAAUUGAUGCAUCUUAGGUGGCCACUUGCUUGCUUUUAAGACCCCAGAUGGCACUCACAAAAGUGGGAUGCAGAACAUUUUCUUAAUAAACUUUGCUAUGUCAAUUGACCUAGAUGUCCGCUGAAACCAUGGUCCCCAGACCCCUACCCCUUAUCUAGUGGUUUUUAAGCAGGGUGUUUGUCAUGGACUGAAUUAUGUUCCCCACAAAAUGUAUCAGCUUGGGUAGGCCAUGUGUGGUUGUUCUCCAUUUUGUAAUUUUCCUAUGUGUUAUAAGUCAUAAUCUUUCCCUGUGGUUACAAGGAUUAGGGUGGGAUUAUAACACCACCCUUAUCCAGGUCACCUCCCUGAUCCAACAUAAAUAAAUUUCUCCUUGUUAAAGCCAUCCUCUUGUGGUAUUUCUGUUAUGGAAGCACUAGAUGACUAAGACAGUGUUAUUCACUUUCCAUGUAAUUGGGUUUUUUUCCUUGUUCUUCCUGUUGUUAAUUUCUACUUUGAUGGCAUUGUAGUCAGAGAAGAUACUUUGUAUUAUCUCAGUGUUUUGGAUUUUGUUGAGGGUUGCUCUGUGACCUAAGAUGUGGUCUCUUCUGGAGAACAUCUCAUGUGCAUUGGAAAAGAAUGUGUACUUUGCAGCCGUUGAGUGGAGUGUUCCGUAUAUAUCUAUAAGGUCAAGUUGGCUGAUUGUGUCCUUUAUAUCUUCUGUAUCUUUGUUGAGUUUCUUUCUAGAUGUCCUGUCUUUUCUGAGAGUGGUGUGUUGAAGUCUUCUACUAUUAUUGUGGAACAAUCAAUUUCUCUUUUCAGUGAUGUCAGAGUUUCUUUUAAAUAUUUUGGAGCUCUGUCAUUGGGUGCAUAGAUAUUUAUUAAGGUUGUCUUCAUGAUGGAUUGUCCCUUUAAUCGUCAUAUAGUGCCGUUUUUUGUCUUUUACGGUGGAUUUUGUUUUAAAGUCUAUUUUAUCUGAGAUUAGUUUUGCCACUCCUGCUCUUUUUUGGUAGCUGUUUACUUGAUAUAUUUUUUUCCAUCCUUUGAUUUUUAAUAAAUUUACUUCCUUGUUUCUAAGGUGUGUCCCUUGUAAACAGCAUAUUGAUGGAGUGUGUUUUUUCACUCAUUCUAUCACUCUCUGUCUCUUUAUGGGUAUAUUUAGGCCAUUUACGUUCAGUGUAAUUAUUGAUAGGUGUGAGGUUAUUGCUGUCAUUUUGUAGUACCUUUUUAUUUUUUGUGGUGCAGAGGUUUUCUUUGUUCCUCUUACUCCCCUGUUCUGAAUUUCUUUUGUUACUGGGUUUUUUUGUCAUUUCUUUUGUUUUUGUAGAUUUUGUUUUUAUUGAGACUUUGUUUUUCUUCUUUAUUUUAAUGAGUAGGUUUGUUAACUUUCUUUGCGGUUGCCUUAAAAUUUACCCUCAUCUUCCUAGGUUUGAACCAGUCUAUUAUUACUUGGUAUAUCAACUUGCCUUUCUCUCCACUAGAAAGUUCUAUACCUACACCAUACAUUCCCUCUUUUAUUGUUCUUUCAUUAUUGUCAUUUACAGAUUAACCUCUCUGGUUCCCUGUUGUAAAUCUUUUUGUUUUGAAUACUCCUUGAGAAUUCAUUUCGUAGGAUGGUAUCUGGCUGGUGCAAUCUUGCAUCCUAGAUUCAGGCUGUGGUCUGAUGUUUGUUCUCAAAUUAUAGGACUCCCUUUAAUAAUUCUUGGAAAUUUCAUUUGGUUUUUACAUAUUCCCUUAAUCCGUUUAUCUGGAAAUGUCCUAAUUCCAUCAUCAUAUUUAAUGAGAGUUUUGCAGGAUAUAUUAUUCUUGGUUGGCAGUUUUUUCUUUCAAGUUUUUAUAUAGUCAUUCCAUCGCCUUCUUGCCUGCAUGGUUUCUACCGAGUAAUUAGAAUUUAGUCUUACUGUUUCCCCUCUGUAUGUGACUUUUUGUUUUUCUUGAUCUGCUCUCAGGAUUCUUUGUGUUUGGCUUUAGCGAGUGUGAUUAUGAUAUGCCUUGAUGACUUUCUUUUGGAUCUAUCCUAUAUGGGGUUUGUUGAGCUUCCUGGAUGGUCAGUUUUUCAUCUUUUGUGAUAUUAGGGAAAUUUUCUGUCAGCAACUCUUUAAUUAUCCCCUCUGUG